rnacentral:rRNA from 1 species
CGGAGCAACGCCGCGUGAGUGAUGAAGGCUUUCGGGUCGUAAAACUCUGUUGUUAGGGAAGAACAAGUGCUAGUUGAAUAAGCUGGCACCUUGACGGUACCUAACCAGAAAGCCACGGCUAACUACGUGCCAGCAGCCGCGGUAAUACGUAGGUGGCAAGCGUUAUCCGGAAUUAUUGGGCGUAAAGCGCGCGCAGGUGGUUUCUUAAGUCUGAUGUAAAAGCCCACGGCUCAACCGUGGGAGGGUCAUUGGAAACUGGGAGACUUGAGUGCAGAAAAAGAAAGUGGAAUUCCAUGUGUAGCGGUGAAAUGCGUAGAGAUAUGGAGGAACACCAGUGGCGAAGGCGACUUUCUGGUCUGUAACUGACACUGAGGGCGGAAAGCGUGGGGAGCAAACAGGAUUAGAUACCCUGGUAGUCCACGCGUAAACGAUGAGUGCUAAGUGUUAGAGGGUUUCCGCCCUUUAGUGCUGAAGUU